GACGAACGCUGGCGGCGUGCUUAACACAUGCAAGUCGAACGAUGAAGCGGUGCUUGCACCGUGGAUUAGUGGCGAACGGGUGAGUAAUACGUGAGUGACCUACCUUUGACUCUGGGAUAAGCCUGGGAAACUGGGUCUAAUACCGGAUACGACCAAUCUCUGCAUGGGGUGUUGGUGGAAAGCGUUAUGGAGUGGUUUUAGAUGGGCUCACGGCCUAUCAGCUUGUUGGUGAGGUAAUGGCUUACCAAGGCGACGACGGGUAGCCGGCCUGAGAGGGUGACCGGCCACACUGGGACUGAGACACGGCCCAGACUCCUACGGGAGGCAGCAGUGGGGAAUAUUGCACAAUGGGCGCAAGCCUGAUGCAGCGACGCCGCGUGAGGGAUGACGGCCUUCGGGUUGUAAACCUCUGUUAGCAGCGAAGAACCGAAAGUGACGGUAGGUGCAGAGAAAGCGCCGGCUAACUACGUG
rnacentral:rRNA from 1 species